ensembl:lincRNA
CUAGAGUCUAAUAGAGACUGUCCUAGAGUGACUUCCAGGGAGUCUAUUUAUCUUCCUGUUGUUUUCGUAGAUUACUUCAACAAAGAGAUUCUCCUAUUUUGUCCAAACUGCAUGUUCAAGUCUACACAAAUCCAGGGAGAAGGACCAGAAGGAAAAAACUGAUUCCAUAGCCUUACCUCCUGAUGGGGUCAGAAAUGAAAUUCUUCGGGGAUGGGGUAAUUGGGAGUUUGAGGGGUAAGUGGGAGUCUGGGAUUGAGGGAGGAAGCCCCUUCCAGAUCUUUGGAGGCAGCUGCAAUUUCCCCAACUUUGCUCUCUUGGUUCCCCUGCCUGUAGUGAAACCCUUAAAAUAAAACAAAACAAAAAGCCCUUCAAAGCUUACCUCAAAGGUGAAGGGAAACGAGGAGUUGUUACAGUGAGUGUUCAUCAGGCAGCAGGAGUCAGAAUGGGUGGGGGGGCAGACUCACCUAUGAAGACCCACCUGGAUUUACAAUUCUGCCGCUGUCCUCCACUGCCCCCAGCAUAUACUGGGACUCCUUCUAAAAUAACUCAUCAGCCUUUUCUUAACUCCUCCUCCUCCUUCCUUCAAAUCAAUGACUUAUUUUGAACAGAGGUAGCUGAGUUGAAAAGUGCACUGAAACCGGCAUUUCAGCCAAUUGAAUCUACUUGGGUUUUUGGACUGAAGUCCAGUCCUCCUGUCUUCUACAAGGUCAGCCAGGAACUGUGCCCUGACGUGCCCUCUUCUCUAGGAUUGAGCCUCAUCCAUACCAAGGCCUGAUUGUGCUUGGGUGAAUGAAAGUGUGUGAAAUUGCAAGGAAAGGGGGCAGAAGAAAUUCUCCCAAGAUGCACAGAAUGUGUGGAAUUAACCAGUUCGACUGGAAAAGCAACAGAGUGUUCAUAUACAGCUUGAAAAUACCGACUUCGAAACUACCGACUUCGAAACACAGAUGUUCUACCAAAUCCUCGCUUGCUUAUUCUCAGCUAAAUUCAACCUCUGAGCUUUAAAAAGAUUUUCUAAACUGUUAAGGACAAAAAAAAAAAAUGACAUUAUACAUUUACAUCUGGCUCUAUCACCAUUUAGGGCAUGCUAUUACACACAUUAAACAUCUGGGCAAGGGGAAAGGAUCUAUUUGGGAGCUUCUGGCUACCGUGACAACAGAAGGACACAGUCUCUCAAACCGUUUAGUCUCUGCUCUUCUACUUUUGACACCACUGCAGCCCUUCCAUGUUUAUUCCAAAAGCCGAGAGUAGGUGCCACUUUAAAACCACAAUCAUCAUAGUAAGCAAUAUUGAUGUGUGGAAGGUAAGUUCCUAGGGGAUGCUUCUCUUGCUUGUGCACUAGUUCAAUAUUAUGGAUAAGGCAAAUCCCCUCCAUUUGCAGCAAUGCUGUUAAAAUAAUUUGGAUUUUAUGGCUUUUAGACAUGGGAGUCUUCUAUUUCUGAGUUACGGGAUGGCUCCUAGUGAAAUGGUCUUAACAGAAAUGGUGAAAAUUUGCCACCAUUAUUUUUCCUGUUAAGAAGUCUCCCUUGUGGAUAUUCGAAACAUUUACCAACAUUUUAAAUGGCAUCGAAUAUGGACAAUUACAGCUUCCAUCUAUUAAUGUUUCCUGUACAUUGAAUGUAUAAUGCACCUUGGACAUAGCAUUUUUCCAUUUAUUCUUCAAAACUCAGUAUUAUUAUUUAGACCUCACAGUUUCAGAAACUGAACCAUGGACAAAGGUACAUCAACAUUCACUCAAAGAACUAUUUACUGAGUACUGACUACGUUGCAGGCUCU